ACCCAGAACUAAGUUGGUCGAGUUUGUUCAAUCACAAUCAUAGCUUGAUAAAAUCAUAUAAUAUUCUUCAUCUGAUCUCCACUAACUUUUGUUUUGUACAUGUAUGCACUUGGUGCCGGAGUGGACUUUUCCUUUUACUUGAUGCAACCGAUUCAAUUGGAACUUGUCCUGGUCGAACGACCAAAGAAAAAUUGCAGGAAAUGUA